rnacentral:snoRNA from 1 species
AAAUGCACAAUGAUGAACACAUCUUCAAAAUCAUACAGUUAUCCCUGGCUGAAGAAGGAUAACCUCACUGUUGAUACACAAUAUCUGAUCGCAAUU